UUCUGCUCAGGACGAACGCUGGCGGCGUGCUUAACACAUGCAAGUCGAGCGGUAAGGCCUUUCGGGGUACACGAGCGGCGAACGGGUGAGUAACACGUGGGUGAUCUGCCCUGCACUUCGGGAUAAGCCUGGGAAACUGGGUCUAAUACCGGAUAUGACCUCCUAUCGCAUGGUGGGUGGUGGAAAGAUUUAUCGGUGCAGGAUGGGCCCGCGGCCUAUCAGCUUGUUGGUGGGGUAAUGGCCUACCAAGGCGACGACGGGUAGCCGACCUGAGAGGGUGACCGGCCACACUGGGACUGAGACACGGCCCAGACUCCUACGGGAGGCAGCAGUGGGGAAUAUUGCACAAUGGGCGAAAGCCUGAUGCAGCGACGCCGCGUGAGGGAUGACGGCCUUCGGGUUGUAAACCUCUUUCAGCAGGGACGAAGCGCAAGUGACGGUACCUGCAGAAGAAGCACCGGCUAACUACGUGCCAGCAGCCGCGGUAAUACGUAGGGUGCAAGCGUUGUCCGGAAUUACUGGGCGUAAAGAGUUCGUAGGCGGUUUGUCGCGUCGUUUGUGAAAACCAGCAGCUCAACUGCUGGCUUGCAGGCGAUACGGGCAGACUUGAGUACUGCAGGGGAGACUGGAAUUCCUGGUGUAGCGGUGAAAUGCGCAGAUAUCAGGAGGAACACCGGUGGCGAAGGCGGGUCUCUGGGCAGUAACUGACGCUGAGGAACGAAAGCGUGGGUAGCGAACAGGAUUAGAUACCCUGGUAGUCCACGCCGUAAACGGUGGGCGCUAGGUGUGGGUUCCUUCCACGGAAUCCGUGCCGUAGCUAACGCAUUAAGCGCCCCC
rnacentral:rRNA from 1 species